rnacentral:rRNA from 1 species
UACGUAGGGUGCAAGCGUUAAUCGGAAUUACUGGGCGUAAAGCGUGCGCAGGCGGUGAUGUAAGACAGAUGUGAAAUCCCCCGGCUCAACCUGGGAACUGCGUCUGAUACUGGACGGCUUGAGUUUGGGAGAGGGAUGUAGAAUUCCAGGUGUAGCGGUGAAAUGCGUAGAUAUCUGGAGGAAUACCGGUGGCGAAGGCGGCAUCCUGGACCAAUACUGACGCUGAGGCGCGAAAGCGUGGGGAGCAAACAGG